rnacentral:tRNA from 7 species
GGUGGCGCAGUGGUAGCGCAGCUGACUGUUAAUCAGCGUGUCGCAGGUUCGAAUCCUGCCC